rnacentral:rRNA from 1 species
AGUGAACGCUGGCGGUAGGCCUAACACAUGCAAGUCGAACGGCAGCACAGUAAGAGCUUGCUCUUACGGGUGGCGAGUGGCGGACGGGUGAGGAAUACAUCGGAAUCUACUUUUUCGUGGGGGAUAACGUAGGGAAACUUACGCUAAUACCGCAUACGACCUACGGGUGAAAGCAGGGGAUCUUCGGACCUUGCGCGAUUGAAUGAGCCGAUGUCGGAUUAGCUAGUUGGCGGGGUAAAGGCCCACCAAGGCGACGAUCCGUAGCUGGUCUGAGAGGAUGAUCCCCCCCCCUGGAACUUGACACCGGUCCGAACCCCUACGGGGGGACGCAGUGGGGAAUUUUGGAAAAUGGGGGAAAGCCUGCUGCGGGCCGACCGGUGAGGGAUAAAAGGCCUUCGGGUUGUAAAGCCCCUUUUUUGGGAAAAAAAAACCGGAAGGUAAAUACCCGCGUUUUUACCGGUCCCCAAAAGAAAAGCACCGGCUAACUUCGUG